GACGAAGGAUGCAAGCGUUAUCCGGAUUCAUUGGGUUUAAAGGGAGCGUAGGCGGUCUUGUAAGUCAGUGGUGAAAUCUCGCGGCUUAACUGCGAAACUGCCAUUGAUACUGCAGGACUUGAGUACAGUUGCCGUUGGCGGAAUAUGACAUGUAGUGGUGAAAUACAUAGAGAUGUCAUAGAACACCGAUUGCGAAGGCAGCUAACGAAACUGUAACUGACGCUGAGGCUCGAAAGUGUGGGGAUCAAACAGG
rnacentral:rRNA from 1 species